rnacentral:rRNA from 1 species
UGCGCAGGCGGUUAUGUAAGACAGAUGUGAAAUCCCCGGGCUCAACCUGGGAACUGCAUUUGUGACUGCAUGGCUAGAGUACGGUAGAGGGGGAUGGAAUUCCGCGUGUAGCAGUGAAAUGCGUAGAUAUGCGGAGGAACACCGAUGGCAAAGGCAAUCCCCUGGACCUGUACUGACGCUCAUGCACGAAAGCGUGGGGAGCAAACA